rnacentral:rRNA from 1 species
AGUGAACGCUGGCGGUAGGCCUAACACAUGCAAGUCGAACGGCAGCACAGUAAGAGCUUGCUCUUACGGGUGGCGAGUGACGGACGGGUGAGGAAUACAUCGGAAUCUACUUUUUCGUGGGGGAUAACGUAGGGAAACUUACGCUAAUACCGCAUACGACCUACGGGUGAAAGCAGGGGAUCUUCUGACCUUGCGCGAUUGAAUGAGCCGAUGUCGGAUUAGCUAGUUGGCGGGGUAAAGGCCCACCAAGGCGACGAUCCGUAGCUGGUCUGAGAGGAUGAUCAGCCACACUGGAACUGAGACACGGUCCAGACUCCUACGGGAGGCAGCAGUGGGGAAUAUUGGACAAUGGGCGCAAGCCUGAUCCAGCCAUACCGCGUGGGUGAAGAAGGCCUUCGGGUUGUAAAGCCCUUUUGUUGGGAAAGAAAAGCAGCAGGUUAAUACCCCGCUGUUCUGACGGUACCCAAAGAAUAAGCACCGGCUAACUUCGUG